rnacentral:antisense_RNA from 1 species
UGCCAAAGCCUAGAGGGUCAGUGGGGAAGGUAGUUAGUUCUGAACUGAAAUGAAAUCACCCAGGGCUCCAGUGACUUCCCCAACCCGGCCACCCUGCAGGAGCAGCGCGUAGGCAGCCUCGAGUGAUAGCCUGGUCCAACGGCCCACACCUUAGCGCCAGGCUCAAGGAACCGGCGCGUAUUUCUGCAGUGAGACCACAGGACGGACAUCGGCGCCUUCGGCUUCGAUGGAGUUGCGAUUUUGCUCUUUCCAGGGAAACAGUGGCAGGGUGUUUGCUGCUUAUCGGUUCCUGCGGAUAUGCCUGGGUCCCAGGACAUUCCACUGGAGGCUUGGACUGCAUUUAGGAGCCCCUAUCCCUUCCCUGUCCACACUGUUAGUGAGCAAUUUCAUAUGUUUGCAUGUAGACCCAUAGACUCAGAACGACUCAUCACACACACACACAGUGUACACUGACACACUCACAUUCGCACACUUAGGUAUACAGCCUGAUCCUUGCUCUGACCUGGUAACAACGCUUCCUCCUCCAGAGACUUUGAGAUAGAGCGAGCGAUCCGUGUGCACCAUUCAUCCAUGCUCCCACCUCGCCAGUAUGGCUGGCUUGUUCUGGAAGGGGCUUAAGAGGAACAAGCCCCAGCUGUGCUUCUGGCUGGGACUUAAACCCCCCUUCUGGGCCCUAAAGCCACGCUUCUUUGUGGACCGGACCUGACUCUCCAGGAAUCUGGGAACUCGCUAUUUCACUCUAUUUUGGGACAAGAAAAAGGGGCUCUUUGGGGCCACUUC